rnacentral:rRNA from 1 species
UGGGGAAUUUUGGACAAUGGGGGAAACCCUGAUCCAGCCAUCCCGCGUGUGCGAUGAAGGCCUUCGGGUUGUAAAGCACUUUUGGCAGGAAAGAAACGUCAUGGGUUAAUACCCCGUGAAACUGACGGUACCUGCAGAAUAAGCACCGGCUAACUACGUGCCAGCAGCCGCGGUAAUACGUAGGGUGCAAGCGUUAAUCGGAAUUACUGGGCGUAAAGCGUGCGCAGGUGGUUCGGAAAGAAAGAUGUGAAAUCCCAGAGCUCAACUUUGGAACUGCAUUUUUAACUACCGGGCUAGAGUGUGUCAGAGGGAGGUGGAAUUCCGCGUGUGGCAGUGAAAUGCGUAGAUAUGCGGAGGAACACCGAUGGCGAAGGCAGCCUCCUGGGAUAACACUGACGCUCAUGCACGAAAGCGUGGGGAGCAAACAGG